CAGAGCCAAAGCAGACGUCUUUCCUCAGCCCAAAAUGAUGGCCCUGAAAAUGCAGACUGCGCAACUUGGCGUGGGAGCAGGCGGUGCUGUCCUGGGGUUGCCAGAUGGUGUGCACUCACAUGGACAUAGCAUGUGUGCUCUGCCGGAUGGACGAGGCUGAGACCCAUGAGUCAGAUAGGCAAGAAGUGAGUGGUCAGAGUAUCUCAUCUUUGUGUUUUAAUUUGGAUCUCAUGGAUGGCCAAUGCACCCACACUAUUACUCAUUACUUCCAGACCAGUGUGAAUCUUUUCCUGAGUUUUGCUGCAAUAUCUGCAUUUGCUUCCAAGUACCAUUUUCCUGUCACUUUCUCUGGUAACUGAGUAAGCAGCUGCCACCUGAAUUCUGAUUCUAGCUCUACCAUGUACUCACUACAUGGAAGACCAGGAGACUUUUUGAAGAAACUGCUCUAAAGAUAGAGCAGAAUUCUAGUUAGUUCUCUCUCCUUCUACCCU
rnacentral:lncRNA from 1 species